GCAAGUCGAGCGAUUCUCUUCGGAGAAGAGCGGCGGACGGGUGAGUAACGCGUGGGUAACCUGCCCUGUACACACGGAUAACAUACCGAAAGGUAUGCUAAUACGAGAUAAUAUGCUUUUAUCGCAUGGUAGAAGUAUCAAAGCUUUUGCGGUACAGGAUGGACCCGCGUCUGAUUAGCUAGUUGGUAAGGUAACGGCUUACCAAGGCGACGAUCAGUAGCCGACCUGAGAGGGUGAAC
rnacentral:rRNA from 1 species